rnacentral:sRNA from 1 species
AAAAACAAAGACUCAUACGGACUUCGACUUCACUAUCAAAGCUUUGAGAAGCAAGAAGAAGCUUGGUUAGUGUUUUGGAUUCGAAUAUGACUUGAUGUCAUGUGUAUGACUC